rnacentral:rRNA from 1 species
AUACGUAGGGGGCGAGCGUUGUCCGGAAUCAUUGGGCGUAAAGCGCGUGUAGGCGGCUCGGUAAGUCUGCUGUGAAAGUCCAGGGCUCAACCCUGGAAUGCCGGUGGAUACUGCCGAGCUCGAGUCCGGAAGAGGCGAGUGGAAUUCCUGGUGUAGCGGUGAAAUGCGCAGAUAUCAGGAGGAACACCGAUGGCGAAGGCAGCUCGCUGGGACGUGACUGACGCUGAGACGCGAAAGCGUGGGGAGCAAACAGGAUUAGAUACCCUGGUAGUCCACGCCGUAAACGAUGGGCACUAGGUGUGGGGGGUGUCGACUCCCUCCGUGCCGACGCUAACGCAUUAAGUGCCCCGCCUGGGGAGUACGGCCGCAAGGCUAAA